CAAGGUUAUGUGGGACUUGUUUAACCGCCACGCAUUAUUUUCAAAUUUUGAGCGCGUCUUUGUAUGUAGUUUGUCAUCCGUUGAUUCAACGUUUUAUAACUGAUACUGGUAGAAUUUAGUGCGUUUUUCUUUCGUAUUUUAACAUGAAAUACGCAUUCUUUGAAUUUGUCAAAGAGGAAUCAUAGGAGGGUGGUGAAACGCGCUGUAUUAUGCGAGAAGAAUCAGAAGAUAUGGAUAAUUUUGUGAAUGCCUGAAAGGUGACUAGGAUCGUGAGAAAGAAAGGCCAUGGCAAUGAGAAAUUUCUAAAGUUAAGAAAAUAAUCAAAAGUUCAUUGACCCAUCUACAACAACAUGUGUAGCUAAAGUAUUGGAAUUCAGUGAUUUCCUUUUGUCCAAACAUCACACUAACCAAAGGUCAAAAUGGAGCUCUAUUAAAGCAAUAUUAAAUGUGAAAGAUUUUGUUUAUGCAGUGCUGUGGAUGCAAGAACAACUUUCCUCUCAUUCCAUCACUGGAAAGGCUUCAAAUGCCUAGCUUAAUUCAAAGAAAAGGAUGCAAAACCAGAGCCAGAGAAAGUUAAGAGUAUAUAUGCUGUGUCUAAAGUAGGUGCAAAAAGGUUUGAGGGAAAAGAGGCU
rnacentral:lncRNA from 1 species